ensembl:scaRNA
GGUCAGUGAUGAACAGUAAAAGGUCUGAUUACCCACAAUCCUCUCCUGCCGCCCUCUGGCUCCCAGCAGCCCCUGCUCUCUGCUCCCAUCAUGCUCUAGUGUUGCAGCGGUGGUCCAGCAGCUGCUGACAGACAGGAUGUGACAUCACACUGGGAGUCUGUGCCGAGGUCCAACAGGCUCCCCGUGAUGACAGACAUCCGACAGAACCAAUCAGAACGGAACGCCGGGCUGAUGGGGAGGAGGGAGCUGAUCUGAAGUUUUCAACCUGAGACC